UGGAAUAAAAGUUCCUGACCUUGGCUGGGCAUGGUGGUUCACGCCGGUAAUCCCAGCACUUUGGGAGGCCAAGGCGGGAGGAUCACCUGAGGUCAGGAGUUUGAGACCAGCCUGGCAAACGUGGUGAAACCCUGCCUCUACUAAAAAUACAAAAAUUAGCCAGGCGUGGUGGUGGACACCUGUAGUCACAGCUACUCAGGAGGCUGAGGCAUGAGAAUCACUUGAACUCAAGAGGUAGAGGUUGCAGUGAGCCGAGAUCGCGCCACUGCACUCCAGCCUGGGCGACAGAGCGAGACGCCAUCUCAAAGAAAAAACAAAAAGUUCCUGACCUUUCCACACAGGUCCUUGUGGCCAGCGGACUCCAGAGUGGUUCUAGCUUUCUAUUAAUAUCACAGUUUUCCUUAUUUAAGUUAUGCAAAGGGUCAUGUGCCUGGGACUGCGCGAUUCUACCGCCGUGAUUCCUACAGUGACUUUUCCUUUCAGACAAGCAAGCAGUUGGCAGCAGCCUUCCAAGAGGAGUUCACAGUGCGAGAGGACCUGAUGGGACUGGCAAUUGGGACUCACGGUGCCAACAUCCAGCAGGCCCGAAAAGUACCUGGGGUGACCGCCAUUGAGUUGGGUGAAGAGACCUGCACUUUCCGCAUCUACGGGGAGACUCCCGAGGCUUGCCGACAGGCCCGAAGCUACCUUGAGUUUUCUGAGGACUCAGUGCAAGUGCCCAGGAACCUGGUUGGUGAGUU
rnacentral:sRNA from 1 species